GGCUGCAGUUGCAGCAUAUGGAAGUUCCCAGGCUAGGGGUCAAAUUGCAACUGUAGCCACCGGCCUACACCACAGCCACAGCCACGCCAGAUCCGAGCCGCAUCUGCGACCCACACCACAGCUCACAGCAACACCAGAUCCUUAACCCACUGAGUGAGGCCAGAGAUCGCAACCUCAUGGUUCCUAAUCGGAUUCGUUUCUGCUGCGCUAGCUAUGACGGGAAGCCCAGAGUCAUCUUUUAAACACAAACUGCAGAUUCUUUUGGCACAGUAGAUCUGGUAACAAUGAAAGAUGAUAUGAAGCAUCUAGCCUAGUACCUGACACACGUCAGGCAUUCAGUUGGUUGAAGGACUAAUUUCUAAAAAUUUUCAUUUUUCAUCACGCUCAGAUCCUAUAAUUCUGAGAAAAGAAAUCUUAAGAAAUAUUUUUUUUUUUUUUGUCUUUUUGCCUUUUCUAGGGCAGCUCCUGUGGCAUAUGGAGGUUCCCAGGCUAGGGGCCUCUGUCAAAUGAGGGGAGAUGAGGACAGUGUCCAGAAAUGAGCUGGGAAAUAAACUGAAUUGUUCAUAACCAGCAUGCUUUUUCUCUUUCCCUUUCUUCUUCUUCUUUAAAGAUAUUAAAAAAAAAACAGACUGCCAUGUGUAUUGCCCACGGUGUGUGGGGGGGUGGAUAUUGUUUUGUGAGACAUUUGCUUCAUUUACAUAGACACAGAUGUGUAUGCUUGAUCAAGAUCUAAAAUAUGUUUUUUAAUGUGGGGUCACAGUCAAAAAAAGUUUGAAAAGCACAGGACAAGCCUUUAAGUUCUAAUCUAUUUUACAGGUGAGUAAAUCAAUCUAGGCAAGCAUCCUGGCCUAAACGUAGAUAAAUUCUGGGCAAAAAUUAGGUGUACCAUCACAUAAUUCAAAAGUAACCUUAUCCAAAGCAACGGCCAUAAUUAAAUUAAAUAUGAGAAAAGACUCCAGUCCACAUCUGCUGUUACACAGACAAACCUGCAUAUUCGGGGCAAAGGGUUAGCCUGCCAUCUGAAAGGCUUUCAUUCUAAUCCAGACACGCAUGUAUCAGAACAGUGUUCUACAGAAAUUUUACCAUAAAAUCUACUCAAGGCAGGAUUUUAACAAUUUCACCUUAAAGAGAUCUAAUGCCAACCUUUAUUUUUAAUACGUUUACCAACAGCAAAUUCUAGCAAUCUAUUGACUGUGUGUGACACACAUACUUUUGAAACCCUUUACUGGAACAGGUGGCUUUUAACUACUUGUAGAUCGACUCAGUGUAUCUGUGUAGGGUAUAUUUUCAUCAGCCUAAAUCACUUUUGAAAAGCUAUCAUCCAAAUGAAGUCCUUCAGGACUUCAGAACAUGAAUAAGCAACGUACUAAAUCCUGAGAACUUCCCUGUUGGACAAGCCAUUUUCCCAGAAAGGCACAGGGGAAUUUAUGACCAUAUGAAUGAACAGGAAUCAAGACAAAUCACUAAUGCUGGCAGUCGGCAUAAGCCAAGCAAACACAUUUUAGAUAGAGACUGGCAGUGUCAAGAGCCCUAACAGUGCCAGCUAUACUUAACUCUAGGGAGCCUCUCAUCUGAAGCAAUCAGAUGUCAUUUCAGACAUGAUCUCAGGCUAUCUUCCCCAUCACUGCUAUGAGGUAUUGGGGCAAAGUCAUAGAUACCCAAACAGGAGCACAAACAGGUGAGUGACGCGCCCACUUACCAGACUUCAGUCUAACUUGAGACUAAAGCUCACGUUUUGCUUGUAGGUCUCUCUAGGUCUAGCUCUGAAACCACGCCCCCCAAUUUGUGCCGUGCGCAUAAAAGACGCUCCCGCAAUACUUUUCCAGUCCUUCUGUGAAUGCUAACUCAAGGUCAAGAGAGUCCCCAAACCCUAUAACAUAAAUUUGAACUCACCCUGGGCUGUUACUGAGGCUCAAUGGAAGAUGUCAGGCCCACAGCCACCGGCUAACUUCCUGCCCACAGUACCAGGCUACUCAGCCCCCGACACCAACAGACCCUCCAGCUGCCACCACAGCUGCCCAGACACCGCCCCGCAGAGCACUGUACAGCCAGGACGUCUUUUGGAAGUCACCCUGUCUCGCC
rnacentral:lncRNA from 1 species